rnacentral:lncRNA from 1 species
CCCCCCCCCCCCCCCCCCCCCCCCCCCCCCCCCCCCCCCCCCCCCCCCCCCCCCCCCCCCCCCCCCCCCCCCCCCCCCCCCCCCCCCCCCCCAGCAGUUUGUGUCCCCAGAGCAGUUUCUGUCCCCCCCCAGAGCAGUUUCUGGGAUCAUUUUGGGUGAUUUUGGGAAAAACUGGGUGAAUCUGGGAUCAUUUUGGGUGAUUUUGGGUGAACCUGGGAUAAUUUUGGGUGAUUUUGGGUAAUUUUGGGUGAUUUUGGGUGAAUCUGGGAUAAUUUUGGGUGAUUUUGGGUGAAUCUGGGAUCAUUUUGGGUAAUUUAAGGAUCAUUUUGGGUGAAUCUGGGAUCAUUUUGGGUGAUUUUGGGUGAUUCUGGGACCAUUUUUUGUGAAUCUUGGAUCAUUUUGGGUAAUUUUGGGACAAUUUUGGGUGAUUUUUGGUGAAUCUGGGACCUUUUCCCCCCCCCCCCCCCCCCCCCCCCCCCCCCCCCCCCCCCCCCCCCCCCCCCCCCCCCCCCCCCCCCCCCCCCCCCCCCCCCCCCCCCCCCCCCCCCCCCCCCCCCCCCCCC